UGGGGAAUCUUGGACAAUGGGGGCAACCCUGAUCCAGCCAUGCCGCGUGAGUGAUGAAGGCCUUAGGGUCGUAAAGCUCUUUCGCCUGUGAAGAUAAUGACGGUAGCAGGUAAAGAAACCCCGGCUAACUCCGUGCCAGCAGCCGCGGUAAUACGGAGGGGGUUAGCGUUGUUCGGAAUUACUGGGCGUAAAGGGCGUGUAGGCGGAUCGGUCAGUCAGUGGUGAAAGCCCCGGGCUCAACCUGGGAAUUGCCUCUGAUACUGCCGAUCUAGAGUCCGGGAGAGGGUAGUGGAAUUCCCAGUGUAGAGGUGAAAUUCGUGGAUAUUGGGAAGAACACCAGUGGCGAAGGCGGCUACCUGGACCGGUACUGACGCUGAGGCGCGAAAGCGUGGGGAGCAAACAGGAUUAGAUACCCUGGUAGUCCACGCCGUAAACGAUGUCUGCUAGACGUCGGGGGGCGCAGCCCUUCGGUGUCGCAGCUAACGCAUUAAGCAGACCGCCUGGGGAGUACGGCCGCAAGAUUAAAACUCAAAGGAAUU
rnacentral:rRNA from 1 species